GGGGAAUAUUGCACAAUGGGCGGAAGCCUGAUGCAGCGACGCCGCGUGGGGGAUGACGGCCUUCGGGUUGUAAAUUCCUUUCGACAGGGACGAAGCUUUUUGUGACGGUACCUGUAUAAGAAGCACCGGCUAACUACGUGCCAGCAGCCGCGGUAAUACGUAGGGUGCGAGCGUUGUCCGGAGUUACUGGGCGUAAAGAGCUCGUAGGUGGUUUGUCGCGUCGUCUGUGAAAUUCCGGGGCUUAACUCCGGGCGUGCAGGCGAUACGGGCAUAACUUGAGUGCUGUAGGGGAGACUGGAAUUCCUGGUGUAGCGGUGAAAUGCGCAGAUAUCAGGAGGAACACCGAUGGCGAAGGCAGGUCUCUGGGCAGUUACUGACGCUGAGGAGCGAAAGCAUGGGUAGCGAACAGGAUUAGAUACCCUGGUAGUCCAUGCCGUAAACGGUGGGCGCUAGGUGUAGGGGGCUUCCACGUCUUCUGUGCCGUAGCUAACGCAUUAAGCGCCCCGCCUGGGGAGUACGGCCGCAAGGCUA
rnacentral:rRNA from 1 species